GUCUUAGCGCCAUAGUUUAGUACAACACAUGUUGUACUCUUGUCGUGACUUGUCUGUCUUUGGAUUUGUAUUUUCGAUGUGUUAGUUGCAAGUUUCCUCUGGAAUCUGUGUGACAUGAGCAUGUAAUAGUUUACUUUUGAGUCAGUUACACCUGUGGAAAGUGUAACAAGUGAAUAUCAGCCUAUUUUAGCUGUUUUUUGGUGCUAUGCUAUGCGGGGUCUUGAUUUCGUGAGUGCAGAUCGAGGCCCACCUUGUAUCUCAGCAAUCGAUCUUUCAUGCAGAUUGCUUGCAUCACUUGGCUGCCCUCGACAAUACAGACAUCUGUGGUGUGGAUCAAGGUCCCCUGUGGAUUUUCAUUCGGAACAAUUUGAGCCGGAGCCGAAGCUGGCAGAUUACCCUUUUCAAGUGUAAAUAGAUUUUUAAUAAAAUGUAAUAGAUCAAC